UACAGAGGUCUCAAGCGUUGUUCGGAUUCAUUGGGCGUAAAGGGUGCGUAGGCGGCGGGGCAAGUCUGAUGUGAAAUCCCGGGGCUCAACCCUGGAACUGCAUUGGAUACUGCCUUGCUUGAGUGCUGGAGAGGAGACUGGAAUUUACGGUGUAGCAGUGAAAUGCGUAGAUAUCGUAAGGAAGGCCAGUGGCGAAGGCGAGUCUCUGGACAGCUACUGACGCUGAGGCACGAAGGCCAGGGGAGCAAACGGG
rnacentral:rRNA from 1 species